rnacentral:snRNA from 1 species
GUGCUUGCUUCAGCAGCACAUAUACUAAAAUUGGAACGAUACAGGGAAGAUUAUCUUGGCUCCUACACAAGGAUGACACACAAAUUCGUUAAGCAUUCCAUAUUGGG